rnacentral:rRNA from 1 species
GCCGCUCGCUGGUGGAUAGUGGCGAACGGGUGAGUAACACGGGAGUCACCUGCGCUUAACUCUGGGAGAAGCCUGGGAGACUGGGUCUAAUACCGGAUAAGACUCCUCAUCGCAUGGUGGGGGGUGGAAAGCUUUAUUGUGGUUUUGGAUGGACUCGCGGCCUAUCAGCUUGUUGGUGAGGUAAUGGCUCACCAAGGCGACGACGGGUAGCCGGCCUGAGAGGGUGACCGGCCACACUGGGACUGAGACACGGCCCAGACUCCUACGGGAGGCAGCAGUGGGGAAUAUUGCACAAUGGGCGAAAGCCUGAUGCAGCGACGCCGCGUGAGGGAUGACGGCCUUCGGGUUGUAAACCUCUUUCAGUAGGGAAGAAGCGAAAGUGACGGUACCUGCAGAAGAAGCGCCGGCUAACUACGUGCCAGCAGCCGCGGUAAUACGUAGGGCGCAAGCGUUAUCCGGAAUUAUUGGGCGUAAAGAGCUCGUAGGCGGUUUGUCGCGUCUGCCGUGAAAGUCCGGGGCUCAACUCCGGAUCUGCGGUGGGUACGGGCAGACUAGAGUGAUGUAGGGGAGACUGGAAUUCCUGGUGUAGCGGUGAAAUGCGCAGAUAUCAGGAGGAACACCGAUGGCGAAGGCAGGUCUCUGGGCAUUAACUGACGCUGAGGAGCGAAAGCAUGGGGAGCGAACAGGAUUAGAUACCCUGGUAGUCCAUGCCGUAAACGUUGGGCACUAGGUGUGGGGGACAUUCCACGUUUUCCGUACCGUAGCUAACGCAUUAAGUGCCCCGCCCGGGGGAGUACGGCCGCAAGGCUAAAACUCAAAGGAAUUGACGGGGGCCCGCACAAGCGGCGGAGCAUGCGGAUUAAUUCGAUGCAACGCGAAGAACCUUACCAAGGCUUGACAUGAACCGGUAAUACCUGGAAACAGUGCCCGCUUGCGGUCGGUUUACAGGUGGUGCAAGGGUUGUCGUCAGCUCUGUCCUGAGAAUGUUGGGUUAAGUCCCGCACGAGCGCACCCUCGUUCUAUGUUGCCACGCGUCAUGGCGGGACUCAAAGAGACUGCCGGUCACUCCGAAGAAAGGUGGGGACAACUCAAUCUCAGCCCCUUAGUCUUGGGCUUCCGCAGCUACAUGCCGGUCAAAGGUUCCAAACUGUUAGGUGACUAUCCCAAA